rnacentral:lncRNA from 1 species
GGUGGACGGUGUGGGCGGAGGAGGGAUAGCCUGGGAAGGAGGCCUUUGACUGGAGCACCAUCGCAUCGGCCGGGUCCCUUGAUGCUCCUCCCAGCUCACCCUCAGCACCACGGACACAGGAAAUGAAGGCCAUGUGCUCUCUCGGGCCCUGACCUUUUGUUCAGAGCAGCUCACGGGCAGGGAGCGGCCCUGGAGAGGCCUUGCGGUCCUGCAACCCAGGCCCCGCUGGGCCCUCUCCCAGGCCUGCCCCAGCGUCACAUCCUGGGGUGCAGCCAGCAUCCCCUCCCUUCCGGAACCCCACGCAGACCUGCACGGUGGUCAGCGAGGCGUCACUCCAGGGAGCCCCCACCCCACCCCAGGAAGCACCCAGGUAUCCGUCCUGGGUCCGAGGAUAAACUCGAGGUGCUCACUGUGUGUGGUGCCAACCCUCCGUGGGGAAAGGGAGCUUCCGGCUAGAAUGUGGAGGAAUGGGCUUCAACACCGUGCUACGUGAAACAAGCCAACCGAACCCCAGGCCGAGGGUUUCUGUGGCGUUCUGGUGCUGAGCAGACCGGGUGGCAGCGCCGGCCUGGGGCCCAGGAAGCCUGCUGUGGUGACAGAGGCCUGGGGCUGGGUAUGACACAAACGCUCACCAAAUGCGCCGCACUGUGCACCCAACGGGGGUCUUGUGCACUUCCGUUACACCUCAGUAGAGCUGGCAAAGGACGCAGCGCCCCCAGAUGGAACACGCACUGGACAACCCAGCAAUCGAGGUCCUUGGCAUUUGCCCGGCGGGGCUGAAAGCCGGCCCACACAAACCCUGCACAGAUGUGGACAGCAGCUUUAUUCCUCAUCGCCAAAGCCCGGGAGCCGCUGAGUUGUGCUCCAGACGAGUGUCCCUGUACUGCAGUAUUUCCGCAGGACGGAAGGACUCGGCACUGUGAGAAACGAGCUGCCGGCCCCCAAUGGUUGUGAGGAACCAGAAGUCCGUAUUCCUGAGUGAAAGGCGGAGUGGACAGGAGCUCCAGCCUGGAGUCUCAGAGAGCGCCCCAUGCAGGAAGGCAGGUUUCACACCCAGGGAGGCCCAAGGACCCCUGAGCACCUGGGCCGGGAGCAGAGUCCCUUGCGUGGGGCAGCUCCUCCGCUGGGACCUGUUUGGCUUCGGACCCCGGUGAGCUGUCCAGGAGAAAGACGGGGCCUUUGGCUCAGACAGAUUUUGUGGACUUGCUUCCUCGGGGUCAUGCAGAUUUCCAUUUCAUGCACAUAAUCACCGUCAUCUCCGAGUGGCCGGGGCCUGUGCUGCCCCACUGUGCCAUGCAUCGGGCCAUAGCUGUCCAGUUCUGAGUGAGCAGAGAGAAGAGACUGGCCAGGCAGCAAAGCCAGACUUUGGUUGGACUGCACUGAGGCCAGGGCACCCAGGAGAUUUCUAGGGCCUGGCUGGCCUGCCCAGAAAGGCCCGAUGGGUGAGACUGCUGUCUCCCAGUGCAGAGCCACUCCCAAACCCAGGGCCCCAGCCCCUGCAGACAUCUCUGAAGAAGCCCUCUCGAGCAUCCUGAGGCUCUGGAGGAUCCCUUCCAGAGAGAAACUCAGCUGGCUUCUCACCCUAGAGAAGAAAGAGGGAGCUUGAAAAGAAGAACUCAAAAAGCACAGUGAUCGAACCAAAGAAAGAAAUCUCAAAUGAUAGAAAUUCAGACCUUGAAGACCAGUCACGGGGAGGAAGGAGGCCUUCCUGGCACGCAGAGCGGGUGCCACGUUCCUGACUUCCUGUGUCUGACCUCCCCUGCUGGGGCCAUCUCUCCUGACGGAGGCUGGGCCUGGCUCCAAGCGCUGAGCUUAGGAGGCAGCCUGCUCCCCUCCAGGCCCUCUGACCGCAGAGCAGCCGAGGAAGGAUAACAAGUUCUGAAAAGAACAACAAAGGCUUGUGGGCUGGGAAACAGGAAGUGGGGCUUCUGCACUUGCAGUCUUCCAGUCCCACCACAAUCUCAGGGCACGCUCUCCAUUGCUAAGUACAGAGAAAUCACAGCCAGCCGGCUUCUGGUUUGCUUCCUUGUUUUGGUUAAAAUCAGUGGAAUUUCUUUUCCUCAAGCAAAAAAUCUUACCCAGAGCUCUAAAAAACAUGACAUGAAAUCAGUAAGAAGGCUUCCCCAGUGAAGUAUUUUCUUGGCCCAAGUGAGAGGACACCACGCCUCCCUGUGGAAUUGGACAACUGGGUUAACUGGGUAACUAUGCUCUUUGUAGAAUGCACCUGAGUAACCUUGACAGCUUCUGGAAUCUGUCACGAAAGGAGCAGAACAGACUCACAAAGUCCUGCCAGAGCUCUUGGCCCACCCCCUCCCCGUGCUUUGUGUAAAUCCUGCUUGCCAUAUUCCCAGGGAAACUCCAAUGAAAAUAAGCCUCGUAGAUGUAAAAGAGGUACAGAAAGAAGAGCGAACUUCUCUUCAGGCUCUCGAGACUGACAGGAGCCACUGGCUGAGCCACCGGCCAUAAAGCCAGUUUGCUCCUUCUUUGUGUGUCAGAGUGCUCUGUCCAGGUGUCCCCACAGUUUCCUGCUUCAGACGAACGCUAAUGGUCAUGGAAUCUCUAAGUUCCUACAGCUCCGUUUUGAUCCUCUGUCCUCAAAGUCAGCUUCUUCUGCACCUGGGAAAACCAACGGCAGAGACUGUUGGCCUGCUGAAACUCUCAGGACAGCAAAGGUGGCACCAGGUUCCCCAGAAAUCCUUCCAGGGCUCUAAAACCAGCAUAAGCCCUUCCUUAGUCCAAAAUGGUAACUUUGAACAGAAGCAGAGCUGCUGAGGCUCUGGCAGUUAGAGGUCCAGCAUCGAAGUCCUUGCCGACUAGACAUCCGGUAAGGACACAGACAGUGUCGUCUCGCUGUCUUCCUGCAUGGAAAGGCAAGAUAGGUCUCCGGACCUUUUUUUAAGAGCACCUGGUCACUGCGUAAUGACCCCAGCGCUAACACUGUUACAGAGCCGAUUGCAUUUGGGCGUGAGUUCUGGGGUUCUUCUGGGGGACCGGCUCUGCCUGGCAGCCCAGCCUUUCUGCAGGGCACAGCCACACCUGCCCAGCCUGCAUGGGCACGCUGCCGUCAGCUCCACACACAGGUGGAAAAUGAGGUCCAACCCUGCCAGAGCAGCCUCCUGGAUGGGCGUGGCAGUCUCCCCAGCCCAUCGCUCCAGGUGCAAGGGUGCCCCCUGUGUGGGGAGGGUGCGCUGGGCUGUCUCUGACCCAAGGAGGUGCUGAGGUCGGAAUGCUCGUGGCCCUCAGUGUCGAACCCCGCCCAUGAUGAGGCGUCCGGAGGGAGGGCGGAAGGGGUUGGGAGGGCUUGGGAGGUCGGAGUCCUGCCUGGGGUCCUGGCCUUCCAGAAGAGCCCUUCCACUGCGCGGGCACACAGGAAGACGCUGCCGCCAGCAGCCGGCGAGCGGCCCCACCACACGAGGAAUCUGCAGGCCCUUGGUCUUGGGCCUCCUGCCUCUGGAACUCAGAUCAUUUCUGUUGUUGUUAGGCCUCUCGGCGUGUGGCGUUUCGUUUUAUAGCCUGACAGGAUGAGGACAGGAGGCCUCACUUCCAACCAUCCCUGGUGAGCGUGGCCUUCUCAUCCAGACCCUGCCGGGGACCAGCCUCCGCUGCCAAGGGCCACAGCCUUGCAGGAUGCAGAGUAGCGACCUGGGCCUCAGCCCGGGGGACCCCCUUUCCGCUGGGCCGGCACGGCCUUCCUAGCCUACAGCCCACACUGGCCUCAGAGUGCUCCAAACACAGCCGCUCACUUGGGCCUCCUGCCCCAGGGCCUUUUCUCUGCCUCCCAAACCCACAGACUCACCUAGCUCUGUGGCCAAAGCACUCUCCCGAGCAGCUCACCCAGCCUCAGCCCCCGGGGCCUCAGUCACCUGCACACCCACAGCAGACCUCACUCGGGGGCACAGGGCCCUGCUUUCCCAGAAGCCUGGCUCAAGCAUCAGACACCGUCUGACCAGUGCUCCGCUGCCGCAGCACAGCUGUCUUCAUGGUCAGAUGCCCGGGUGUAGAGGGGAGGAAGCGGGAUUCCAGCACUUGGAGCCAGCCAUCAGCAGAGGUGUGACACAUCCUAGGGGAGUUGGUCAGGGAGCGUGUCGGGUCUCCUCAUGGUUAGGGCUGUGUGCAGCCCUCCAUGCCUACCUGGGAGGUGGCCACUGUAGGACUGAGCUCCCCCCAAGGCCCCUGACCCCACCUCACCCCCCAGCCAUGUAGCUCUGGAGGCCCCCGGGGCACAGGGCCAGCACAGCCUGCCCUGUCCACACCUGGGCCGGGCCAGGAAGGAGGGGCGCUGAAGGGUCAAGGCCCACAGCUGCUUUGUGCUGUGCGUGAGGAAGCAUCUUCUAGACCCACAUGGCCCCUCUCCGGACUCGUGCACUUGAAAAGGCGGCCACGCCGGGAUUGGAGCCCCCAGAGAGUCCAAGGGUAGCGGAGGCCUGCAGGGAGCUGUGGUGAUCUUCAGGUGGCCGUGGACUCCUGGCAGCUGAGAGUUCAGCUCUGGCAAAGGCUUGCUUAUUCAUCCACUCAGCCACAGCCAGCCAGUGCCAGGCAUUAUACUGGCUGCUGGGACACAGCAGUGGGAUUUAGCCGGGUGAGGCGGCGCACACCUGCCAUCCCAGCUACUCAGGAGGCUGCAGUCAGAGGCCAGCGUGGGCGACUUAGCAAGACCCCAUCUCAAAGUAAAAACUUAACCAAAGAGCUGGGGCUGUAGCUCAGUGCUCCCUGGGUUCAAUCCCCAGCACCACAAGAACAAGGCAGAACUUACAAACUUCCCUGGCUUCUGCUGCAGGGGGAGGAGAACAAGAUGAAGCGGUGACGCGCUCCGCGGUGGUGAUCAGGGGCAGAUGGAGCAUGGAGAGGAGUGUUUGAGGUGCACUCUGACGCGGUGGGAGGAGGCCUCCCUGGUGCCAGACCGGUGACCGGCCCUGAAGAGUGUCAGGGAAGCCCCGGGGCUGGAGCACCCCGGUGAGCCAGAGGGACGGCGGGGGAGGCAGGAUGGCGGCAGCCAUGCCGUGACCUGGGAGUGUCUCAGGAGAUGCUGUCGGGGUCGAGUGGUGGCCCCAAGAGCCUGUGCUGGAGUCCUAUCUGAGGAGCCUACCAGUGUGUGAAAUCUUGCGAGUGCAGUCACCCCAGGGAGCCUCGAGAUGCGCUCAGCCGAUCAUCCAACACAAGGGCUUUUGCAGUGACAUGCAGAGGACAGACGUGGGGAAAGAGGGGAGACCAGGAAAGCCAGAGGCAAAGACUGCAGUGG